AACGCAAUAUUUUUUUUUAGUAUAUUUAAAAGUUGGUUUAUUAAUUGUUAUAUAAUAUAUAAUAUAAUAUGGAGUAUUAUUGAUAAUAAUACUGAAUUUUGUAGAAUAUUAUAUAAUAACAUUUCUCCAAUUCAUUUUUUAAAACUUAAUGAAUUCAUUUGCUUAUUUUGUAAUCUUUAAUAAUAUAUUUUAUAUAUUUUAAAAAUUAAUUAGAUUUUUAUAAUGAGUCCAUUUUUUCCAUUAAUGUGCACUAUAAUAAAAUUAUGAAAACUAUGUUUUUUAAUCCAAUUUCCUUAUUUUGUUACUUAUUAACAGUUAGUUAUACUUUUUAUUGUUGUACUUUUUCUAUUUGGAAUCCAUGUUUUUCAAUAAUCUAUAUAAAUUAUGAAUUUUUCAUAGGAAAUUUAUUUAUUUUUUUUUCAGUAAAAAAUUCAUAUGACGUUUUUUAAUCUUAUUUUUUGCAGAUUUUAUUUUUUCUAUUUUUUAAUUAUUUUAAAUACAUCAUUUAUAUAUUAUUCUAAAUAUAUAAUAUUCUAUUUUUGGAUGAUUUUAAAUAAAAAGUACUCACAAUUUUUUUCUUUAAUGUGAUAACUGAUAAUUUAUAUAAAUAUUUUAAAUAAAUUUUAAAUAUUAUUAAUUAGAUUUGAGAGAGAUUGUCUAAUUAUAAGAAUAUAGUAAAAAAUAAUAAGAUAUUAUGUAUUGUAAUUUAUAAACCUGAUUAUUAAUAUAUAAAUUUAAAAUAAUUUGCAAUUAAAUUUUGUUCAGAUGUUUAAAUUUUACUAAAAAUAGGAAAAAUCUUAAAAAUUAUAAUAAUUUUAAUUGAUUUUUUUAAAUCAAUUAAAUUUUAAUUGAUUUUUUUAAAUCAAUUAAAUUUUAAUUGAUUUUAUUAAAAACUAUAUAUACAAUAUUAAUUAUUUUUUUUCUCUCUCUCAUUCUUUCACAGAUUCUUCUGCACAUAUUUUUUUUCUUUAGAUACUUCCAUUGAUAGAUAGAAUAGUAUGGAUGCUGAUAUCUCUUCCUGAAUUAUUGGAUCAAUUAUUUUUUUUUCAAUGGCAUUUUUAGAAGAUAGAUAUGUGCUUUUUCUAUUUUUAUGUUUUUAUUCUCUUCAUUAAUUAUAUAUUUUUAAUAGUUAAAUAAUUUCUCUUUUGUUUUGAAAUAUUGCAAAGUUUUUCUAUUCAAUUCUUUUCUUUUCUUUUUUUUUCUUCUUUUUUUUUUGCUAUAUCAUAGAACAAAUAUAUUCUUCAUUAUGAUUUUAAUAAUCUCGAAAUAAUAACAUGUUUAUUUCUUUUUGUUUUCUAAUGACUACAAUAAUCCCCAUUCAUAUUACUCAUGCAACUCAUUCAUUUUUAAAGCAAAAUAAUAAUAAUUUUCUCAAUAAAUUUAUGUAAUAAAAUUUAAUGACAAUUAUAAUUUCCCAUCACUAACAGCAACAAUAAUUCAUGCGAUUGGUUCAUUAUAAAUCUGAAUGCGGUUGGUCUCAUCUAAUUUUGACAUCUUCUUAAUAUUACUAUCCAAAGUGAAAAAUGUUUUAUAUAAAAGUUAUUCAAUAAAUUGAAAAGAAUAAUGUUAUUAAUUCUUAAUUAGAAGGAGAAUAUUAAUUCUUUCAUGAUGCAAAUGUCACAUAAAAAUUAACUUUUUUAAAGAUUAAUGUUUUUUUUUAAAUAAAAUUAUAUAUUUUUUAAUAUAUCAAUCAACAUAAUUCUUUAAAAAAAGUAUUAAUUCAUAUAUCUAAAAAUUAUUAUUUUAGAAGAUAUUUUAAUUUAAAUAAUAAUUUUUGUAAUUUAAAGAAAAUUACGAUAUCAAAAAUAAAAGAGAUGAAAUUCUAUAUAUCACGCAAAACUAUAUUAUAAUCAGAUUUAUAGCCUUUUUUUCGAUUUUCUCAAAUUUUCCACUGCUAGUAUUUAUUAUUGUUGUUACGAUCGUCGAAUAAUUGCUGAGAGAUAAUUUAAUAAAUUUAAUAUUCUUUCAAUUUUGUUUGUUUUCUUUUAGAAUCUAAUUACUACUAUUGCUUCGAACAAAUAAUAAUUGCAACAAUAAUUCUGUAAUUCUGUUGCAAUAGUAAUAAAUUAAGAAAUUUAAUUUAAGAAAUUUUCAAUUUUAUGAUUUGUUUCUGAUCUUACAGUCAUGUUUUGCUUAGAUCUUGUGAUGAUUUUCAACUAUAUAUAUCACAGUAAUAAAUAUAUAUGGCCGAUUCGUUAACUUCUAAAACAUUAUCGAUGAUAUUUAUCAAUACUAAUCGAUUGAUUUUUACUGGGACAUCAGUUGCAAUCAAUAUAAUCACGAUCAUCAUAAUCACUGCAGCAUUAAUACAACAAUCAUAUCAGCAAAUUCUCCAUAGCACUGAAAAAUUGUAAUAAUUCUAUCUAAAAUAUCUAAAAUAUCUUUCUAAAAUAUUUAAAAUAUCAUAUUUCCAAAUGUAUAUCAACAUCAUAUCGAUUUCAAAUGUAUUUUUUAAAAUUGUUUGAUUAUCUGUCCGCAGUAUAUCAACAUUUUCUGUUAUUGCUUCAUCGAAUAAUUCUGAUACUGUUCUGCAAUUAAUGGUCCGUCAUGUAUCGAUCAUCAUAGAACGAGGAACACUUUUAUAUUGUAAUAUGAUACAGAAAUGAAAAAGAUAAUCAAUUGUAAUAAAAUUCUUUAAAUUACUGUAUUAUCAAGUAAGUAUAUCGCAUAUAUGUAUCGUCUAAAAUGAACGAGUUGAAAAAAGUUUUUUCGUACUUGGAACAUCUGUUUCAUCAUCAAAUUUGUUGAAUUUAAUUAUAUAUUAAAAAGAAGAAAUUUGAAAAAGAAUAUUUGUUAAAAAAUCUAGCGACAAUUUAUAUAUAGCUAGACUCUAUUUGCAUCAUUCGCAAUCAGCAAAUAAUCAGGACAUUUAUAAUUUGCUUAUUCAAGAAAAUUAUUGUCAGGAAUUUUUAUAUAACACUUCAAUCUGGUUAGAGUGCAACCUAAUCCUAAAAUCUGAAAGGACAUUCUGUAGUCACGAUAACAUCAAACAACGAACAUCCUUAAGAAGAUUUAAAAAAAAACAUGCAUCAAUCGAUUUCUUAAUACAACGUGUCUUUGUGCGAUAUUUCUUCGAGGACAUCUUCUUCAUGAGCUAAUCUGCGGUGUCAUUGGCUUCUAUAUAAAUCAUCUUAAAUUAAUCAUGAUUUCCACGAGAAUCUUUUGCAAUUUACAAAAAAAUUUAAAUAAUUAUGAAUUUUUAUCAUGUUUUGAUCGAUAAACAUGAUUAUUCGCGAGAGAUGAGAAUACUUAGAGAAUAAUAAUAAAAGUAUACAAUUUUAUCAAUAUUGAAUCAUGUCCUAGAAUAUAUUUAAGAAGUAAAUAGAAUCUUAUUUAGUUGCCUGAUAAUGAUUUAUUGUGAAUUAUAAUGAGAGAUGUAAUUUUCGUAUUCAAGUAUACCGUACAUUAUACAUAUAGUCUAUUCAUUAUCAUUGGAAAUUUCUUUUUAAUAUUUUUGUGAGCGCGAACAUGUUAACACAUGCUAAUUAUUAACAAUAAUAUUUGCAUUCACCAAUUUCAUUUCCGUCUUUUUCUGUUUUCCUCUCCUAUAGAAUUUUAUCAUUAAAUAAAUAGAUUGAAAUUUGUAGCAAACAACUUAAAAAUAAAAUAUGACAGUUUUCUUAUGCUCGAUAUUCAUCUGCGAAAUUUCUUAUAUAUUUUGCACAUGUAAUAAUUCAAAUAAAAGUCAGUGAAAAAUCAAAUUUGUUAUAUUAUUAUUAUUAAUAAUAAUAAAAACAUUCUAUCUAUUUGAUUGUCUUAUAUUUUCGUGGAUAAUUUAAAUAACAUGGAAUGCAAUGUUGACAUGGUGUUUCGAUAUCAACCAGCACAUAAAUAUCAUAAGACAUUUCGAUGAAAAAAUAAUAACUUUUAGAUAAUGUAUAUAAAUCAUUAAUUGUAAAUACAAUUGAUUUAGAUAUUGUCAAAUAAUUAUAAAAACUCCAUCUUUGAUUUAUUGUUAUUACUUGUUACUUAUUAUUUAUAUUUACUAUUAUUUACUAUUAUUUAUUACUUGUUGUUUUUGUUUCAUUCUUAGGAUAUUAUUGUUUUUUAUUUUUACAGUUCGAGAGUUUAACAGAUAUCCUAAUAGAUAUCAUUCAAUUCAUAAUAUUUAUGUUGGGUUUUUGUGUUUGAAUCAAUAAAUCAGAAUCUACAUUUGAAAAUUCUAUAUCUUGCACUAAAUAAAAACGUGGUUGUGUUCUUCCAUCAUUACGAGAAGCGCAUUUGAUAACACAAUAUUGCAUCGAAUUAUAAUAAUUGAUAAUUCUUCAUUUCUUGGAAACCUUCUAACAAUAAGAUUAAGAACAAUUUCUAUUAUUUGUAUCAUUAAUAUGUAAUAAUUUUAAAAUAUAUUACUGUUCUCAAAA